rnacentral:rRNA from 1 species
GGCUAUACAUGCAGUCGAACGCGUUUCCGUUAUUGAUUUUAGAGUGCUUGCAUUUAGAAUGAUUUAACACGAAACGAGUGGCGAACUGGUGAGUAACACGUGGGUAACCUGCCCUUGAAGUAGGGGAUAACACUUGGAAACAGGUGCUAAUACCGUAUAACAACCAAAACCACAUGGUUUUGGUUUAAAAGAUGGCUUCGGCUAUCACUUUAGGAUGGACCCGCGGCGUAUUAGCUUGUUGGUAAGGUAAUGGCCUACCAAGGCAAUGAUACGUAGCCGACCUGAGAGGGUAAUCGGCCACAUUGGGACUGAGACACGGCCCAAACUCCUACGGGAGGCAGCAGUAGGGAAUCUUCCACAAUGGACGAAAGUCUGAUGGAGCAACGCCGCGUGAGUGAUGAAGGGUUUCGGCUCGUAAAACUCUGUUGUUGGAGAAGAACAGGUGUCAGAGUAACUGUUGACAUCUUGACGGUAUCCAACCAGAAAGCCACGGCUAACUACGUGCCAGCAGCCGCGGUAAUACGUAGGUGGCAAGCGUUGUCCGGAUUUAUUGGGCGUAAAGCGAGCGCAGGCGGUUUCUUAGGUCUGAUGUGAAAGCCUUCGGCUUAACCGGAGAAGUGCAUCGGAAACCAGGAGACUUGAGUGCAGAAGAGGACAGUGGAACUCCAUGUGUAGCGGUGAAAUGCGUAGAUAUAUGGAAGAACACCAGUGGCGAAGGCGGCUGUCUGGUCUGUAACUGACGCUGAGGCUCGAAAGCAUGGGUAGCGAACAGGAUUAGAUACCCUGGUAGUCCAUGCCGUAAACGAUGAGUGCUAAGUGUUGGAGGGUUUCCGCCCUUCAGUGCUGCAGCUAACGCAUUAAGCACUCCGCCUGGGGAGUACGACCGCAAGGUUGAAACUCAAAGGAAUUGACGGGGGCCCGCACAAGCGGUGGAGCAUGUGGGUUUAAUUCGAUGCUACGCGAAGAACCUUACCAGGUCUUGACAUCUUCUGCCACCUAAGAGAUUAGGCGUUCCCUUCGGGGACAGAAUGACAGGUGGUGCAUGGUUGUCGUCAGCUCGUGUCGUGAGAUGUUGGGUUAAGUCCCGCAACGAGCGCAACCCUUAUUGGUAGUUGCCAGCAUUCAGUUGGGACUCUAGCAGAAUGCCGUGACAACCGAGGAAAGGGGGGGGA